AUAUAUAUAUAUAAAUCGCCAUCAGUCUCAUCACUGCCAAGUGACACACAAAAAGGAAGUUAACCAUUGGCUGUGACUUGCAUUCAUAGUCUGAGUCGCAUUUCCCAGCUCCCCUUCGCCCAUUCUGAAGCCAAGUGGACUCCAGCUUGCCCAUUUCAUUCCGACCACGGCAGCCAAAAAAAGCACUGCCCCACCGUGCGAUGACAAGCAGGCUGUUUUGAUAUUAGUACCUCGGGAUGCACUGUAAGAGAGUCAGAUGUCCCCAAACUACAUGCCCUCCCCUGAGGGACUCUGUCCCGGCCUUCCUUGGCUAGAGAGCUGGUAAGCAUGCCACAAAUCCUUAGCUGUGAAAGCACAAGGGACAGAAAGGCACCAUCGGCCAGGCUCAGACAGAAAUGGCCACAAGGGCCUCUUCUGCUGGGGACAGAAUUCACACCCUCCAAUUCAAUGCUCCUGUCUCACUGGAAAGAUGAACUCAGAUUCUAUUCACUCUCUGCCAGCCAGCAUCCUCCAGCACAAACUGAAUUACAUAAGAAAAGGAGCCCUUUUUUUUUUGUUUUGUUUUGCUCCUAUAAUGAAAUUG